UUUUUGGAGAGUUUGAUUCUGGCUCAGAACGAACGUUGGCGGCGUGGAUAAGGCAUGCAAGUCGAACGAUCUUAUUGAAUCUUGAGGCUUCGGCCAAUAGAUUUGAUUCGAUAGUGGCAAAAGGGUGAGUAACGAGUGGAUAAUUUACCUUCGAGUUCGGGACAACCUACCGAAAGGCAGGCUAAUACCGGAUAAGACCACGACCCCGCAUGGGGUUGAGGUCAAAGGUGGGGACCGUAAGGCCUAUCACUUGAAGAUGAGUCCGCUUCCUAUCAGCUUGUUGGUGGGGUAAUGGCCUACCAAGGCAACGACGGGUAGCUGGUCUGAGAGGAUGGUCAGCCACACUGGGACUGAGACACUGCCCAGACUCCUACGGGAGGCUGCAGUCGAGAAUCUUUCGCAAUGGACGAAAGUCUGACGAUGCGACGCCGCGUGAGCGAUGAAGGUUUUCGGAUCGUAAAGCUCUGUCAAGCGGGACGAACGUCCUGA
rnacentral:rRNA from 1 species